rnacentral:rRNA from 1 species
UACGUAGGGGGCUAGCGUUGUCCGGAAUUACUGGGCGUAAAGAGCUCGUAGGUGGUUUGUCGCGUUGUUCGUGAAAACUCACAGCUCAACUGUGGGCGUGCGGGCGAUACGGGCAGACUUGAGUACUGCAGGGGAGACUGGAAUUCCUGGUGUAGCGGUGGAAUGCGCAGAUAUCAGGAGGAACACCGGUGGCGAAGGCGGGUCUCUGGGCAGUAACUGACGCUGAGGAGCGAAAGCGUGGGGAGCGAACAGG